CAGGUUGCUGUGUUAUGCUGUGUGUGGCUAAGACCUCUUACCAAGAAUACCUUUGCUUUGACCCUUGUGGACAAUCAGGCCGUAGAAACCCUAAGGAGUGCUACAGCGGCAAUGAAACAACCCAACAGAGAGAGGAAGCUGAGCCUGGAUUCCAAAGAGCAUUGGAAUCAGGAUGGAUGCUUGGAAGACGUCACUGUUGGAGACCUUCCUUCUGAGAGCGGCUCUGGGAUGUUGUCCAAAACCUGUGUUUCUAACGAAUUGUGUUGCCAGAUUGAGCAAGAACCAGGCCCUUCUUUGGAACUGGGUGAACUGGGCUAAUGAAAAACAGACCCAACUCAUCCGCCAACCAGUUCUACCUAUGCCAGGAAGAAAGCCCUGACCUGGGGCUCCCACUCACCAUCUGGCAACAGUCAGAUCAUGUUCGGUUUUGCUAUCACCUGGGAAGGGCGCCAUGUCUGUAUAACUGAAAAAUUAUUUUGUUGGUUUACACAUGACUAUUUCUGUAAUGUGUUU